rnacentral:rRNA from 1 species
AUUGAACGCUGGCGGCAUGCUUUACGCAUGCAAGUCGAACGGUAACAGGCCGCAAGGUGCUGACGAGUGGCGAACGGGUGAGUAAUGCAUCGGAACGUGCCCAGUCGUGGGGGAUAACUACUCGAAAGAGUAGCUAAUACCGCAUACGAUCUAUGGAUGAAAGCGGGGGACCGUAAGGCCUCGCGCGAUUGGAGCGGCCGAUGUCAGAUUAGGUAGUUGGUGGGGUAAAGGCUCACCAAGCCGACGAUCUGUAGCUGGUCUGAGAGGACGACCAGCGACACUGGGACUGAGACACGGCCCAGACUCCUACGGGAGGCAGCAGUGGGGAAUUUUGGACAAUGGGCGCAAGCCUGAUCCAGCAAUGCCGCGUGCAGGAAGAAGGCCUUCGGGUUGUAAACUGCGUUUGUACGGAACGAAACGGCUCUGGUUAAUACCCGGGGCUAAUGACGGUACCGUAAGAAUAAGCACCGGCUAACUACGUG